rnacentral:rRNA from 1 species
AGCGAACGCUGGCGGCAGGCUUAACACAUGCAAGUCGAGCGGGCACUUUCGGGUGUCAGCGGCGGACGGGUGAGUAACGCGUGGGAACGUGCCCUCUGGUUCGGAAUAACUCAGGGAAACUUGAGCUAAUACCGGAUACGCCCUUUUGGGGAAAGGCUUGCUGCCGGAGGAUCGGCCCGCGUCUGAUUAGCUAGUUGGUGAGGUAACGGCUCACCAAGGCGACGAUCAGUAGCUGGUCUGAGAGGAUGAUCAGCCACACUGGGACUGAGACACGGCCCAGACUCCUACGGGAGGCAGCAGUGGGGAAUAUUGGACAAUGGGCGCAAGCCUGAUCCAGCCAUGCCGCGUGGGUGAUGAAGGCCUUAGGGUUGUAAAGCUCUUUUAUCUGGGACGAUAAUGGCGGUACCGGAGGAAUAAGCCCCGGCUAACUUCGUG